CGUAUCAUUGUGCCCCGCACUUCCGGGCCCGAAGCGGCCGCGUAUGCGAGGCGAUAAGUCCGAAAGAGGGAUGAUAUGAC
rnacentral:ncRNA from 24 species